CACGUAGGGCGCGAGCGUUGUCCGGAAUUAUUGGGCGUAAAGAGCUCGUAGGCGGCCUGUUGCGUCCGCUGUGAAAGCCCGGGGCUUAACCCCGGGUCGGCAGUGGAUACGGGCAGGCUAGAGGUAGGUAGGGGAGAAUGGAAUUCCCGGUGUAGCGGUGAAAUGCGCAGAUAUCGGGAGGAACACCGGUGGCGAAGGCGGUUCUCUGGGCCUUGCCUGACGCUGAGGAGCGAAAGCGUGGGGAGCGAACAGG
rnacentral:rRNA from 1 species